GACGAACGCUGGCGGCGUGCCUAACACAUGCAAGUCGAACGGUAAGGCCCUUCGGGGUACACGAGUGGCGAACGGGUGAGUAACACGUGGGUGAUCUGCCCUGCACUUCGGGAUAAGCCUGGGAAACUGGGUCUAAUACCGGAUAGGACCACUGCCUGCAUGGGUGGCGGUGGAAAGCUUUUGCGGUGUGGGAUGGGCCCGCGGCCUAUCAGCUUGUUGGUGGGGUGAUGGCCGACCAAGGCGACGACGGGUAGCCGGCCUGAGAGGGUGACCGGCCACACUGGGACUGAGAUACGGCCCAGACUCCUACGGGAGGCAGCAGUGGGGAAUAUUGCACAAUGGGCGCAAGCCUGAUGCAGCGACGCCGCGUGAGGGAUGACGGCCUUCGGGUUGUAAACCUCUUUCAGCACCGACGAAGCGCAAGUGACGGUAGGUGCAGAAGAAGGACCGGCCAACUACGUGCCAGCAGCCGCGGUAA
rnacentral:rRNA from 1 species